rnacentral:rRNA from 1 species
CGUUAGCGGCGGACGGGUGAGUAACACGUGGAUAACCUACCUAUAAGACUGGGAUAACUUCGGGAAACCGGAGCUAAUACCGGAUAACAUAUUGAACCGCAUGGUUCAAUAGUGAAAGGCGGCUUUGCCGUCACUUAUAGAUGGAUCCGCGCCGUAUUAGCUAGUUGGUAAGGUAACGGCUUACCAAGGCAACGAUACGUAGCCGACCUGAGAGGGUGAUCGGCCACACUGGAACUGAGACACGGUCCAG